GGCGGGGGGCUAACUGCAGUCGAGCGGACAGAAGGAGCUUGCUCCCGGAUGUUAGCGGCGGACGGGUGAGUAACACGUGGGUAACCUGCCUGUAAGACUGGGAUAACUCCGGGAAACCGGAGCUAAUACCGGAUAGUUCCUUGAACCGCAUGGUUCAAGGAUGAAAGACGGUUUCGGCUGUCACUUACAGAUGGACCCGCGGCGCANUAGCUAGUUGGUGGGGUAAUGGCUCACCAAGGCGACGAUGCGUAGCCGACCUGAGAGGGUGAUCGGCCACACUGGGACUGAGACACGGCCCAGACUCCUACGGGAGGCAGCAGUAGGGAAUCUUCCGCAAUGGACGAAAGUCUGACGGAGCAACGCCGCGUGAGUGAUGAAGGUUUUCGGAUCGUAAAGCUCUGUUGUUAGGGAAGAACAAGUGCGAGAGUAACUGCUCGCACCUUGACGGUACCUAACCAGAAAGCCACGGCUAACUACGUGCCAGCAGCCGCGGUAAUACGUAGGUGGCAAGCGUUGUCCGGAAUUAUUGGGCGUAAAGGGCUCGCAGGCGGUUUCUUAAGUCUGAUGUGAAAGCCCCCGGCUCAACCGGGGAGGGUCAUUGGAAACUGGGAAACUUGAGUGCAGAAGAGGAGAGUGGAAUUCCACGUGUAGCGGUGAAAUGCGUAGAGAUGUGGAGGAACACCAGUGGCGAAGGCGACUCUCUGGUCUGUAACUGACGCUGAGGAGCGAAAGCGUGGGGAGCGAACAGGAUUAGAUACCCUGGUAGUCCACGCCGUANACGAUGAGUGCUAAGUGUUAGGGGGUUUCCGCCCCUUAGUGCUGCAGCUAACGCAUUAAGCACUCCGCCUGGGGAGUACGGUCGCAAGACUGAAACUCAAAGGAAUUGACGGGGGCCCGCACAAGCGGUGGAGCAUGUGGUUUAAUUCGNAAGCACGCGAAGAACCUUUACAGGGUCUGACAUCCUCUGACNNACCUAGAGAUAGGGCUUUCCCCUUUCGGGACAGAGUGACAGGUGGUGCAUGGGUGUCGUCAGCUCGUGUCGUGAGAUGUUGGGUUAAGUCCCNGCACGAGCGCAACCCUUGAUCNUUAGUGCAGCAUUCAGUUGGGGCACUCUAAGUGACUGCCNGUGACNACCCGGAGAAAGGGGGGAAUGACGUCAAUCAUCAUGCCCCUUAUGACGUGGGCUAACCNGUGCUUCAAGGGAAAAACAAGGGCUGCAAACCCCCAAGGUUACCAAUCCAUAAAUCUGUUUCAUUUCGAUCCAACCUGCACCUCCCGGCGGGAGGGAAACCCUUUAAUCCGAAUACAGUGCCGGGGGAUAAUUCCCGCGCUUUAACACGCCCGUCCCCCAAUUUUGGACCCAAGCGUGGG
rnacentral:rRNA from 1 species